UUGUCAUAUGGACAGACUGGAAGUGGAAAGACUUACACUAUGUGGGGUCCACCAAGCGCCAUGGUUGAGGAUCCUUCACCUAGAAGCCACCAGGGGAUUGUUCCUCGUAUCUUCCGAAUGCUGUUCUCUGAGAUUCAAAGAGAGCAAGAGAACCCUGAUGGGAAACAGAUAAAUUAUCAGUGUCGUUGCUCCUUUCUUGAG